rnacentral:lncRNA from 1 species
AAUUUUGUGAUUUGGGGUUAGGUAGGACCACACACCUCAAAUCCCUCCCUAUUUCCCGUACCCUGUCUCUCUCUCUCCUCCCUCACAAUCUCUCAUUCUCUGUCUCUCUCCUUCGAACUCAAACGGACGAGACCCAAAGACCGUCGAAACUUCCACCAACGACGGAGUUAAGACCACCAUCAAACUCCUGGAACCUCCACGAUCAUGAUGGUAUCCAUUUCAAGUAAGUUUUGCUUCGGAAAACCCUAGUUUCAAAGUUCCCGUGAAAUGGUACUGUUCAUGAUCUUCUAAAUGACUACGUUUUAGGCUAAAACAAGAUCACAGCGAGCUUAGUGAGGUCCCAAGGAAGCUCGGAGUGCUUCGUUGGAAGUUUUUGGACGUAAGAACACGGAGAUCGACAAGUUCAAAGUUUGGCCGGAGCUUUCGAGGAAUUUUCCGGCGAAUCCCCGGUGAGUUAGGAGUCGAGGUAGGUAUCCAUCUCUUCGUCUCGUCAAGUACUACAACUUUCCUUUUUGUUUCACUCAAUUUCGUUGAGUAUUGAAGAAGUUAUACUCAUUUGAAAAAUACCCAGUUUCCGGCGACCUCCGAGGCUUUCGAGGCAGUUUCCGGCCAAACCACGGCGAACUAGGUGUUGUGCAAGGUACCAUUCUCUUUGUCUCUUCAAGGGCUACAACUUUCGUUUUUGAAUCACUUGAUUUCGUUGAGAAAUGACAAAGUUAUGGCAAUUUGAAAAACUGCCCAGAAACGGCCGCCGGAAAAACCAGUCCGGCGACCCAAGGAAGAAGAAGGUGCGCGUGGGGGCGCGUGGACCCGUGCCUUCCUUGGCGCGUGGGGGCGCGUGCUACAGUAAAAAUUAUUUUAAAAAUAUGGCGACGUCCGUGACGUCGAGUAGAUUGGGACUCCGAUUUGCGGAUCUUCCGAAAUUGGAGUUGUAAGUCCAUAAUAUAGAAUGUUAACCGUCACCUAGUUUUGUUAAUUGACGGAGAUCCGACCGUUGGAUGGUAAUGAAAUUUUAGGAGGUUAUCCUAGAGAUAUAUUGUGGACCUCUGGAAGUUAUGGAUUUAAAAUCCGAGUGGUGGAUCUUCCGGAUCGAUCUACGUAGUGACGUAUUUUAUAUAAGUUAUAUAUUCUAUCACUAUGAAUUCUGAGGUUGGAAUUGAUUAUUGUUUUAGGCGCCGAUCGUCAUGACGCCUUGGCGUAUUGUGCUAGGGAGUUGUAGGGCGAACUCCAGGUGAGUGGGCAGUUUUGUUUUCCGUAUAUAUAUAUACUUGACGUUUUCCCAGAAAUUGAAAUUUAAUGAAAGUAUGCUUUAAAUGCAAUGUAUAAAAUUAUAUGAAAAGUAUAUAGAAAUGUGAAUCGAAAUGCCAUGCAUGAAAUGAUAUGAAAAGUAUGAAUUGAGAUAUGAUGCAUAUGUAUGAAUUGGUGCUGUGGACGCACAGGUGAGUAUAAGGUGAGUAUAUUACUGCUAUGAUGAUGUUGAGAUAUAUUGAGCUCAUAACCUGCACCUUGGUAUUAGUGCUUAUUAUUAUUCACCGCAUCGCAUGCUCACCUUGGAUCCAAGUAGAUGCUAGUCGUACAGACCACCGGGGGUGGUUCCGACAUGCCAGUCGUAUAGACCAUUAGAGGGGUUCCGACUGGUAGGUGACCUUAGAUUAUGUGCACAGAUGAUUGAUGAGAGAAGCACUAGAGCAUAUUAUUCUACCAUUAAGUCGUACAGAUUACAUUAGGUAAUUCCGACUUAUGUGCAGUAUAGUGCCGUACAGGUCAUACUAGGUGACUCCGGCAUGGCCGUAUAGGUCACAGUUGGUAUCUCCGGCUAGAUGAUAUUUUGAGCUCUAGGUUCAACCGUACAGGGCCAUUAGAGGGCCUCCGGUUGAUUACUUUCUUGCACCUGAUAUGAUUAUUGUUGAUGCAUCCAUACUUAACUGUUGAAUUAGACAUGGCAUGGCAUGAUUGAUAAAGAAAAAUGUUGAGAUAGUAAAAAUGAAGUUUUGAGAAUAUAUAUGUAUAUUUAUAUUUUACAUUUCUGGGAAAGUAUACAAGUUUUACGGAGAGGGGUUACAACGUUUUGAGAAAUGUUUGGA